CCUUCGAUAGCUCAGUUGAUAGAGCGGAGGACUGUAGAUCCUUAGGUCGCUGGUUCGACUCUGGCUCGAAGGA
rnacentral:tRNA from 1 species